rnacentral:rRNA from 1 species
AUACGUAGGUGACAAGCGUUAUCCGGAUUUACUGGGCGUAAAGGGCGUGUAGGCGGUCUUGCAAGUCAGAAGUGAAAUUCCUGAGCUCAACUCGGGCGCUGCUUCUGAAACUGCAGGACUUGAGUGCUGGAGGGGAUAGCGGAAUUCCUAGUGGAGCGGUAAAAUGCGCAGAUAUUAGGAAGAACACCGGUGGCGAAGGCGGCUAUCUGGACAGUAACAGACGCUGAGGCGCGAAAGCGUGGGGAGCAAACAGGAUUAGAUACCCUGGUAGUCUACGCCGUAAACGAUGAAUACUAGGUGUAGGGGGUAUCGACUCCCUCUGUGCCGCUGUUAACACAAUAAGUAUUCCGCCUGGGGAGUACGGCCGCAAGGUUGAAACUCAAAUGAAUUGACGGGG